UACGACCAUCGCACGCUAAAACCGGUUCUCGUACGAUCACCGAAGUUAAGCAAUGUCGGUAUCUAGAUGAGUGACCACAUGGGAAUACCAGGUGCUGUAAU